ensembl:lncRNA
AACAUUCAUUGUGUUAUUGCAUUAAUACAGUUUAAACAGUAGAUAUUUGGGGGAAGUUACUAACAUAAAAGUGGAAUAUUGGAAUAUGUCUGACAAGAGGAACAGUCCUGCCCAGUGUGAAAGCCAACACACACAGCCUUACACACUCAGCUCCCUGUAUUCUACAGCUGCACUGCUACAGCUUCACCUAGAGGGGGCGAUAGAAACAACCAGAUUUAAGGGACAGGACAAACAAGACCAAUGACAGACAACACAUCUUAUCUGAAAGGCUCUCCUGACAUAGCUGUCCCAAUAGAGUCACUAUGAUCCAGAAACUGACUGGCCAUAGGACAUUUUGGAGCCAGAUGGACCGGUCCAUCUUUAAGCACAGUGGGCUGGCCUAAAUUGGGUGUUUGCAAAGAACAACUGUUUUGGGGGCGGGGGGGGUAGUGUGUAUGAAAAUACAUGUAAAUGUUGAAAAGAAAAACAGUCACAUUAUCAAUCAUCACAGAUCACUGCACCUGUACAUAGCCCAUCUGUAAAUAGCCCAUCCAACUACCUCAUCCCCAUACUGUAUUUAUUUAUUUAUCUUGAUCCUUUGCACCCCAGUAUCUCUACUUGCACAUUCAUCUUUUGCACAUCUAUCACUCCAGUGUUUAAUUGCUAUAUUGUAAUUACUUUGCCACCAUGGCCUAUUUAUUGCCUUACCUCUCUUAUCAUACCUCAUUUGCACACACUGUAUAUAGACUUUUUGUACUGAAUUAUUGACUGUAUGUUUGUUUAUUCCAUGUGUAACUCUGUGUUGUUGUAUGUGUCGAACUGCUUUGCUUUAUCUUGGCCAGGUCGCAGUUGUAAAUGAGAAUGUGUUCUCAACUAGCCUACCUGGUUAAAUAAAGGUGUUCUCAACUAGCCUACCUGGUUAAAUAAAGGUGUUCUCUACUAGCCUACCUGGUUAAAUAAAGGUGUUCUCAACUAGCCUACCUGGUUAAAUAAAGGUGUUCUCAACUAGCCUACCUGGUUAAAUAAAGGUGUUCUCAACUAGCCUACCUGGUUAAAUAAAGCUGAAAUAAAAUAUAAAAAAAAUGUUCACAAUCCUCG